rnacentral:rRNA from 1 species
UGGCUCAGGCUGGAACACCUCCUAUAGAGGUUGAUCGUAGGCUCAGGGCGGACCACCGACUUACACGUGGGUAACCUGCCUGUAAGACUGGGAUAACUCCGGGAAACCGGGGCUAAUACCGGAUGGUUGUUUGAACCGCAUGGUUCAAACAUAAAAGGUGGCUUCGGCUACCACUUACAGAUGGACCCGCGGCGCAUUAGCUAGUUGGUGAGGUAAUGGCUCACCAAGGCAACGAUGCGUAGCCGACCUGAGAGGGUGAUCGGCCACACUGGGACUGAGACACGGCCCAGACUCCUACGGGAGGCAGCAGUAGGGAAUCUUCCGCAAUGGACGAAAGUCUGACGGAGCAACGCCGCGUGAGUGAUGAAGGUUUUCGGAUCGUAAAGCUCUGUUGUUAGGGAAGAACAAGUACCGUUCGAAUAGGGCGGUACCUUGACGGUACCUAACCAGAAAGCCACGGCUAACUACGUGCCAGCAGCCGCGGUAAUACGUAGGUGGCAAGCGUUGUCCGGAAUUAUUGGGCGUAAAGGGCUCGCAGGCGGUUUCUUAAGUCUGAUGUGAAAGCCCCCGGCUCAACCGGGGAGGGUCAUUGGAAACUGGGGAACUUGAGUGCAGAAGAGGAGAGUUGGAAUUCCACGUGUAGCGGUGAAAUGCGUAGAGAUGUGGGAGGAACACCAGUGGCGAAGGCGACUCUCUGGUCUGUAACUGACGCUGAGGAGCGAAAGCGUGGGGAGCGAACAGGAUUAGAUACC